GUCUACAGCCUUGCCACCCCGAACAAGCCCGAUCCCGUCUGACCUCGGAAGCUAAGCAGGGUCGGGCCCAGUGAGUACUUGGAUGGGACACCACCUAGGAAGACCAGGUGCCGUAGGCA
rnacentral:rRNA from 1 species